AGGGCUGCUCCACGAGGCAAGACAAGCCAGAGCUGAGGGUGAGCCCCACAUAAGCAGCCUCCUUGCCAACAGGCACCAUCCCACCAUCCUCAGGCAGGGUUGAUCCGUUUGCAACCCUGAACAAGAAACUGUAUGUUGAAUAAAGUGACCCACCUUAAACAGCGUACAAUCAGUCUUAGGUGAGAAAAAAAGGGCUGCAUGAAGCUACUGCUUAUCCAGAGAAGAGGAAACUUUGAUAGUGAUGCCUAAACCAUCCUCUCAGCUACGGGUUAUCUGAAGUAGUACACACAGCUCCAACUUACCUGUUUUCUCCUAUCAGACGCUGUGAAAACACCCAGCUUAGAAGCAGAAGACCUUUAAAACUUAUACUGUUUAGAGGGAAAAGACCUGGAUGAAAACAAAUGGUUUAUGUUUUCAGGCAGAAAUAAAUAAAGCAUGGACUAUG